rnacentral:lncRNA from 1 species
GCGGUUGAAAUUCAUGUUUUCUUUCGAAUAAAUUUGGGGAGCAAAAAAACAAGAUUCUUGGAUUGUUGAUUUCAGUUUUUGAGUUCUGCACUUUCGUUGAUACCAUGCAAGCUUUCAAGAGUUCAAGAUGUCUAUUGAUUUUAAAGGUUUUAAGUUUCACCAUUCAAGGUGUUUAAGAUGUUUGCUUGCUAGGAAAGCGAGGCUAGAAUAAAGCUCUAGAGGCCCCCAACAAAUGGUUGUCUGUCAGGAAAAAGCAACUAGAGCAUAGUUGUCUGUAGAUCUUGUCAGGCCGGGUCUUUAGGAGCAUUUGAACAAUAUUUAGUUUUGUUAUGUUUAAAUCUGAGUUGUCGGAGCAGAAUUUCUUGUUUGGAUAUUGUCUGUAAUAAUGUAUUUGUUUAUUCAGGAUACGGUAUGGGACGUAUCUUUAACUGGAUUAUAUAAAUAGUUGU